AUCGCUUCUCGGCCUUUUGGCUAAGAUUAAGUGUAGUAUCUAUUCUUAUCAGUAAAACUCUUAGAACAUGGUAUUGGAAAAUAUCUUUGGGAUGUCAAGGAUUUCUUAAGAUGUAAAAAGCAAAACUUUA
rnacentral:snRNA from 1 species